GAUGAACGCUGGCGGCGUGCCUAAUACAUGCAAGUCGAGCGAACGGACGAGAAGCUUGCUUCUCUGAUGUUAGCGGCGGACGGGUGAGUAACACGUGGAUAACCUACCUAUAAGACUGGGAUAACUUCGGGAAACCGGAGCUAAUACCGGAUAAUAUUUUGAACCGCAUGGUUCAAAAGUGAAAGACGGUCUUGCUGUCACUUAUAGAUGGAUCCGCGCUGCAUUAGCUAGUUGGUAAGGUAACGGCUUACCAAGGCAACGAUGCAUAGCCGACCUGAGAGGGUGAUCGGCCACACUGGAACUGAGACACGGUCCAGACUCCUACGGGAGGCAGCAGUAGGGAAUCUUCCGCAAUGGGCGAAAGCCUGACGGAGCAACGCCGCGUGAGUGAUGAAGGUCCUCGGAUCGUAAAACUCUGUUAGUAGGGAAGAACAAAUGUGUAAGUAACUGUGCACAUCUUGACGGUACCUAAUCAGAAAGCCACGGCUAACUACGUG
rnacentral:rRNA from 1 species